rnacentral:rRNA from 1 species
ACUGUUGCCCCGAGCCGUGAGGCUCGAGCACUCUGUUCAGCUGCCCGCUUAAACGGGGAGGAAGGUGGGGACGACGUCAAGUCAGUAUGGCCCUUACGGCCAGGGCUGCACACGUACUACAAUGCCCAGUACAGAACGAUCCAAGACCGCGAGGUGGAGGAAAUCACUAAAACUGGGCCCAGUUCAGAUUGAAGUCUGCAACUCGACUUCAUGAAGCCGGAAUCGCUAGUAAUGGCGUAUCAGCUACGACGCCGUGAAUACGUUCCCGGGCCUUGUACACACCGCCCGUCACAUCAUGGAAGUCGCUUGUAGCCGAAGCCGGCGCGCUAACCGCAAGGAGGCAGCCGCCUACGCUAUGAGUGGUAACUGGGAUGAAGUCGUAACAAGGUAAC